rnacentral:rRNA from 1 species
AGCGAACGCUGGCGGCAGGCUUAACACAUGCAAGUCGAACGGUUGUAGCAAUACAGCAGUGGCAGACGGGUGAGUAACACGUGGGAACCUUCCUAGGGGUACGGAACAACUCAGGGAAACUUGAGCUAAUACCGUAUACGUCCGUGAGGAGAAAGAUUUAUCACCCUUAGACGGGCCCGCGUAGGAUUAGGUAGUUGGUGGGGUAAUGGCCUACCAAGCCUACGAUCCUUAGCUGAUCUGAGAGGAUGAUCAGCCACACUGGGACUGAGACACGGCCCAGACUCCUACGGGAGGCAGCAGUGGGGAAUCUUGGACAAUGGGCGCAAGCUUGAUCCAGCCAUGCCGCGUGAGUGAAGAAGGCCUUCGGGUUGUAAAGCUCUUUUACCAGGGACGAUAAUGACGGUACCUGGAGAAUAAGCCCCGGCAUACUUCGUGCCAGCAGCCGCGGUAAAAC